rnacentral:tRNA from 1 species
UAUGGCAGAAAUAUAUGCAAUGAACUUAAGAUUCAUUUAUAAAGAAAUAUCUUUUAUUAGAA